rnacentral:hammerhead_ribozyme from 1 species
AUCCGGCUGACAAGUCCCAAAUAGGAUAAAGCGUGCGUCCUGGAU